rnacentral:misc_RNA from 1 species
AACGCACAUUGCGCCCAUUGGUAUUCCGAUGGGCAUGCCUGUUCGAGCGUCAUUAUCCUCCCUCAAACCUCGGGUUUGGUGUUGGGCCAGAGUUGUGCUCCCGGCGUCGUCCGGUGACCAACUGGUCUCAAAGACAAUGACGGCGUCCGUGGGACCCUCUUCGCAACGAGCUUCUCGGAGCACGCGUUGAGUCCAGGCCCCUCGGACCCGGUCGCCUCCAGUAGGGACGCCCCGCGUCUCUGUAAGGUUGACCUCGGAUCAGGUAGGAAUACCCGCUGAACUUAA